UUUCAGGGUCCAAGCCUGUAAACUGAGCCAAGCAAAAUAGAUGUGAUGGAGGAGACAAGUGAUAACAAACUAAUCAAAAGAAGAAAAUGUCAUAUCUUGGAUAAAAAUGGUUACCUUCAACAACUAGAUAUAUUGGUCACAGUUAAAUUAAAUAUUGUUGUCAAGAAGAAUUUCCCUAUUCAUCGUAGAGGAGCAGAAACAUGUUUGGAUGGAACAUGUGCUUAAACUUUGCAUAAGUUUUGUUGAAACUUUCAUUUGAUAUACUGUAUUCCUAGAAAAGAUUUCGCGCAUUUUAAGUUAGCGCUUUUCGCGGUAUGCAUGAUUCCGCGAAUGUUUAUAGCCGCGAAUAUGUCACUCAUAACAAAUCCGCGAACAUUUCUAGCUUCAACCAAAUAAAAACAUAAACGAGCAGAAUUUUUAUAAUAAUCUACUUUAACACAAAAACAUAUAAACA